ensembl:snoRNA
AUGCAGUGAUGAUCUCUUAAAUGGUGGUUUCAACUCACUGAUUGUUGAAUGAAGACGUGAAUUUCCUUGGCUGUGUCUGAGCAU